AGUUGCUGCAGUUAAAAAGCUCGUAGUUGAAUUUCUGUUUGUUAGAGUCGAGUCUUCCAAGACGAGAUCUCUUCGAACAUCUGUUUGCAAUCAUAUGUUCGGUCUUCAUUGAUUGACUAUGUGAGCAAACGUUUUACCUUGAGAAAAUUAGAGUGUUCCAGGCAGGCUUCAGCCGGAAUACAUUAGCAUGGAAUAAUGGAAUAGGACUGGGGACUAUUUUUGGUUUGAGGCUCCAGUAAUGAUUAAUAGGAACAGUCGGGGGCAUUAGUACUUGACAGUCAGAGGUGAAAUUCUUGGAUUUGUCGAAGACUAACUAAUGCGAAAGCAUUUGCCAAGCAUGUUUUCAUUAAUCAAGAACGAAAGUUAGGGGAUCAAAGACGAUUAGAUACCGUCCUAGUCUUAACUGUAAACGAUUCCAUCUUGGAAUUGGGCGGAUAUAUUAUGAUUCGUCCAGCGCCAUAAGAGAAAUCAAAGUCUUUGGGUUCUUGGUGGAGUACGAUCGCAAGAUUGAAACUUAAAGGAAUUGACGGUUUUGCACACCAUGGAGUGGAGCCUGUGGCUUAAUUUGACUCAACACUGGGAAACUCAUCAGGACAAAAAAGUUUUAGGAUUGACAGAUUGAUAGCUCUUU
rnacentral:rRNA from 1 species